ensembl:lncRNA
CAGCAACCAAACAAAAACACCAGGGCACAGAAACACCAGGUUGGAGGGGUGACUCAGUGGUUAAGAGAAACUGGCUGAAGACUUCGGUUCAGUUCCCAGCACUCACACCAGGAGAACUCACAACUGUCUGAACUCCAGUCCCAGGGGCUCCUACACUUCUGGCUUCCAGGGUGGACACUGCACUUGGGUGUACAUUCCUCCUGUAGAUAUACUCACAUUCACAUAAUGUAAAAUAAGAAAAGUAAACCUUGAAAAAUAAACCCCUCUUACCUCAAGGGGGAUAAGAGAUCAUUUCUUCUGGCCUGGGGACACAGACUUAGGGUCUUCUAGGGUCCAUGUUCAGAUGUGGCAGUAAGUUUUAUGAAGUUUUUAAUAUAAUGACGGAACUAGGCAAGCUCUCUUUUCAUUUAGUGGGUGAGUCCAUAAGGUAGGCAGGUUACAGCGAACUGGGGAACUCUGCUCUCGGCUAUAGGCCUCAGAUGCUGCCCGACGACAUUCCUAGCUUUCUGGUCAGUGCGUGGUGGGGGUCUGUUCACACAUCCCAAAAGGACUCACCUAAUAGUUAUGCUAGUUCACACAAGGGGGUGGGCAAUAAAUGGCUAUUCAAAUGAAAGGCUCAAGAUAGCCAGGAUAAAGUGUAGUUAUGAUUUGGACCUGCAACAUUCCAACCUUUCCAAACACUAAAUCCUAAUCAAUCAGCUUUUGUAGGUACAGCCUCUUUCUGAGGGCUUGUUCGGUGCCAGCUCCGAAAGUGACCAGAAGUAUCACUGUAGGACGAGACCAACCACUCUGCACCUCCGUAUCCACCUGCUCAGUGAGCAAAAGCAAUUCAUGGAAUGGUUCGGGGGAGAGAAUACACCAGGAGGGCCAGCACAGGGCAGCACCUGCACAAAGAAUUUGGCUGACAUCUAAGUGGAAUCAAGAGGCAGCUGGACUACAGCUAUAUUCUGCCUGGCCAUUGGUCAAAAACAGCUUUAUUUAUCAACCAAUAAAAGCAACGCAUACAGAAGGACAUCCCACAUCAAAUUUCUGUGAGUUCGAGGCCAGCAUGGUCUACAUAUUGAGUUCCAGGACAGCCGGGGCUACACAGAGAGACUCAACGAGAGAAAGAAAGAGAGAAACUAAACAAUGAAAAAUGACAAACAAUAACAGUGGGGUCCUGGGAAGGUGACUCAGUGGAUAAAAGUGAUUGCUAAGCAGGCAUGAGGACUGAGUUCAACACCUCAGCACAGUGAUUCCAGAACUCCCACAAAAAGAUGGGCAGUGAAGACAAGAGAAUCCUUGGAAGUUCAUGAGCCACUAGCCUGGCUCAUGUGAUGCAGAGAAAACAAUAAAGAGACCCUGUCUCCUUGUUGGUGGAAGGCCAGGCCUGAUGCCCAAGGCUGUCUUCUGGUCUCUACAUAUGCAUCUUGUGCACACAAAACAACCAGUGGCUCAGCCUUGAAGGUAGUCCUUGGCGACACAAGAAGAGACACUGCAGAAGGAGCUGGACAAAAGACAACUUCCCCUCUCCUCCUCCUUCCUCUCCUCCUCCUUCCUCUCCUCCUUCUCCUUCCCCCCUCCUCCCCCCUCCUUCUCCUCCUUAUUCUCAUUCUUUUUUUGUUUACUUAAAAAGAUUUAUUUUAUUUAUGCAUGGUACCUGUGGAGGCCAGAAGAGGGCAUCAGAUUCCCUGAAACUGGAGUAACAUAGUUGUGAGCCACCAUAUGGGUGCUGGGAAACCAAACUUAUGUCCUCUGGAAGAGCAGCAGGGCUCUUAACCACUGAGCCAUCUCUCCAGCCUUAUUAUUAAGUCUUGUUAUUCUUGUUCUUCCUCUUUGGCUUUUUAAUCCUUCUCCCCACUGCUUUUUUCUUGGUUCUUGUGAAAUAUUAGUAUGUAUGGGUUUUUCCUGGUUAGUGUGUUGGGGUUGAAAUGAGAGGGGAUAUGAAUAGGGCUUGGAGGAGGGGAAGUUGCAGAUCAGGACAUCCCCAGUCAGCAGCCAGAAGGGCCCUGAGGACUAUGGACUCCCAAGUCCAUGGGGCUGAUGAUGGUUUGUCUUGUGUGUUUCUGAGUUAUAUAGUUAGUUGGUUCUAAGCUUUACCAUGAAAUCCUCAGUAUCAAGCCCAGGCCAGCCUGAAACUUAUUCUGUUAUCAAGCCCAGCCUAGUUUCUAGCUCAGAAACCUGAGUCCUCCUGACUCAGUCUCUCAAGUGUUAAGAUUUCAGGUGUCAUCACACCUGGCUGGGUUAAGAAUUUCUCUUAAAAAAAAAAAAAAAGAAUUUCUCUUUCAAGUUCGCCUAUAAAAAAAACCCCCAAAACAAAAAAAACAGGCCAACAAAUGAUGCAGUGGAGGGUGGGUGUAUGUUAUGGCCAUUAUUUAGUAGUUUCUCCAGAAUUUUUGGGGUGGAAAGACUUGAGAUUUACCUUGAAGUUGCAAUUGUAACACAAACCACUUUCCACCUGAUUGCCUGCCUCGGCUGGGGUCUGUGGGUCUGUGGGUCUGUGGGUAGAGAGAGGGUCAACCACUAUGGGAAACAGUUUUCUCAAAUUACCACUGGGAGGCGCUACAGACACACUCUCAGUGCUACAGCCCAGACCAGUGGAAGCUAAGGUCAGAUUUUGGUUUGAGAAUUCAGGACCAGGCAGGAAAGGAAGAUAAAACCAGCUUUUUAGCUGGGCGGUGGUGGCACACUCUUUUAAUCCCAGCACUCGGGAGGCAGAGGGGAAGAGGCAGGCGAAUCUCUGUGAGUUCGAGACCAAGCCUGGUCUACAACAGUUCCAGGACAGCCUCUAAAGCCACAGAGAAACCCCUGGCUCGAACCCCUGCCCCCAAACUAAACCAAACCAAAACCCCAGCGGUUUUUCUGGGUGUUGUGGUGCACAUCUUUAAUCCUAGCACUUGGGAGGCAGAGGCAGGCAGAUCUCUAUGAGUUCGAGACCAGCCAGAGCUUCAUAGAGAGACUUUGUAUCCAUGGUUGGUCUAAAAUUCUGACUGUCUAACGGAAGGUGUGAGCCACCAUGCCCAGUUGAUGCUCUGAUGUGCGCUCUCGCUCCACCCCCACCCCAACCCCUCCAUAGCCCUGCUGCUAAGAACUAGCUAGCUCUGCAGACCCAGCAGGUCUGGAGUGCCCGGAG